AAAAAAAAGUACGGCUAAGGAAAUUCCAUCCUUAGACAAUAGAGCCUUGUCUAGCACUCUUUCCAGGAAAAGCGUGCUCAGAUUGCAAAGCACCUCAGAACAAAAAAAGACCAGUAAAGUAAGUUAAAUAUAAAUGGGCAUUCCAAGCGUUUGGUGAGAUUAUUUUCAAUCAAAAAUGAAUUUUUAAUCAAUAUCCAAACGUGUUACUUUGAAUAUCAAUUGUAUAAACAACAAGAAAGAAUUAAUAUAUCCUUUUAAACUUUGCACACCGCACAGAAAUACAGAACACAUUUACUCUCAAUAUAUUCUAAUAGAGUUUCAUUCGCUUGAAAAGAAACAAAAGAUUUUGUCCACAUUUCUUAAACAUGAUCGAAAUUGAUUGCAAUAUAUUUACGUCUGCAGUUUGCUAUUGAAGCAGACGAUUGUCAGACAUGUACUUACAUACGUUUAAGGCGGAUUCAAUAUUCGAAAAUCAGUUAGAAGUAAAAUUUUCAAAAUUGAAAGACAGACGUGUCUUUAUAAUUUCCAACAUCACAAAAUACUGAUCUUUUAAUGCAAACAAAAUUUUAUUUAAAUAUAUCAAACCAUACAGAUUAAAGCUCAAAAGGAGCAACUCCAAUACAAAAACCGUUUCUGAAUUCCAUUUUCAGGAAAAUGAGAAAUUCGUGUAAAUUAUAUGAUAUUUCACUGAAAAAAUUCCUAUCUUCGACGUCAAAAAAUGAUAGAUUCGAUGUGGAAUGACCCUUAUUGGAAAACAGAAGCGUGUUUCUUCAUUGUUUCAGUAUAUGCAAAUGAGUCUGAGACAUACAGGAGACGCUACCAUCUGAAACUUCUAGAUGCAGUUCGAAACUGAAAAGACUGAGGUUUUACAUUUUCUUCCUGUGAUUCUUAAUUUUCUUUAUUCGAUUUAAUUUAGUCAGCUUUUCGUAACAGCCUACACCUACCUAGAAUUAUAACUAAGCAUACAGGUAAAUAAUACAUAGAUGAUAGCACUAGAUAAUGAAAAAAAAAUAAAUAAAUAGAUAAAAAUGUAUUAACGAAUUAAAUGCUUCAGAUAGAACAUUUUAAUUUUAUAAAAGGAGCGAAAUAAGACAUUUCUAUCUAGCAAUGACUUGAAAUCAUAUUAUUGAGAUAUGUAUAAUUUUAUGUGCUAGACUAGAUUGGACUUGUGUGCGAAUAUCAGUGUGAGGAAGUAUGUGUGUGCGCGGCGUCUCGAAAACAAAGGAAUGUAAACUGUCCAGUUAACAAUCUGUUAUGGGAGAAAGUGCUGAGACGCGUGCAAAUGUGUAUCGAUGAAUAUCUUUGGAAUCGUUUAUCGAAUAAAUAUAUAACUAUUCUAAUAUAAAUUCAAAGUGUAUAUUUAGUGUUCCUAUACUAUUAUUUCGGCUAUUAAGAUCCAAUAUUCUCAACACAGAUUUAACUAAUAUUUUUAAAUAUACGUACAAUUUAUACACAAAAAUUGUUAAGAAAUUAGUGGUUUCAACAUAUGUACGUGGUAUUACAAUAAAACGUCCUAUCGAUAUUUAAAGAGAGAAUUCAAGAAUGGGAUGUAUGGAAAUACCUGGAGCCCUUUCCAACGCACUCCGAAUAGCGUUAGUCACGGCCAAUGUAAGGAACCAAGAGGGUGGCAGUAGGGCAGCAGAAAAAUCGGAAACCACCGAAAUUACUACGGAAAUGGAUGAAGUUAAAAAGAUAAGAAAGUCGGAAAUUAUCCCAAGGAUACGUCUGUUAGUUUCCAAUUGAGGGUACUUUUGCAACUGUUUCGCAGAAGGCAAUGUUGGUAAUAACUGCUAGUAAUAAAUGGAUGUUCGUGAGAUUACAGAAAUUAGAUCCGAAGAAAAUCAUGUUGAGUUUCUUUUGAGGAGUCUUUAGAGGAAAGACAAGUAAUGUCUUUCACUGACAAGGAGUCUUUAGAGGAGUUGAGUCUUUAGAGGAAGGACAAGUAAUGAUGUUUUGGUUUAACAAGUAAUAUUCCAUACAGCAAACUGAUUACAAUACUGUCGUACGUCGUAUUAUCAUACUCGGCUCUCAACUUCUCGAUUCACACUCCGGCUCCUCCACUCACACUCUCCGGCUCCUCUACUCACUCUCCGGCUUCUGCACUCGCUCUCUCUGACUUCUCAACUCACACUGUCCGAUUUCCCAACUAACUAAUACCCCCUGAGCUAGCAACCCUUUGUCCUUUCUUAUCCCCACCUCGCAUGUGUUCUGCGAAGGCAAGUGGCCAGGAUACGUAGGCCUUUUCUACGAAACUAUUCGCUUGAAGGACCGACGACACAUUGAUGGACCCGACGACGCCUCGACUUCCGCGACAUUGUUAAUGGUUCGACCGAUAUCUUAGUCCCUUUGUCCACGAUACUACAUGCAUAUAAGUUUUUGUUACUAUAAUUAUAGAAUUAUAUUCUUGAUAGCAUCGAAGUAGAAUUAGUUGAAUGAUAGCAAUACUGAGCAUUGAAUAAUUCGUAGGAAUAAAUAAAUAUUAGAAUUUUAUUUAGAAAUAUAAAAUCUUUAUAUCCGGCGUUGAUUGUGAAAACAUUCGUUAAGGAUACGUUCGUUCGCCGACCAACUGUUGGGAACAUGUACACUGUACAUGUGAAUGUGUGUGUAAGCGUCAGAGGACGUCCAGGCCUUGGUUGAGACAUAAGACAAGAGCAGUCGUUAGAAGUAUCUGGAAUAGUCGGUUGAC